UACGAAAGGGGCUAGCGUUGUUCGGAAUUACUGGGCGUAAAGCGUGCGCAGGCGGCCUUCCAAGUCAGGGGUGAAAGCCCAGAGCUCAACUCUGGAAUUGCCUUUGAGACUGUGAGGCUUGAGUACGGGAGAGGUGAGUGGAAUUCCCAGUGUAGAGGUGAAAUUCGUAGAUAUUGGGAAGAACACCGGUGGCGAAGGCGGCUCACUGGCCCGAAACUGACGCUCAUGCACGACAGCGUGGGGAUCAAACAGG
rnacentral:rRNA from 1 species